rnacentral:rRNA from 1 species
UACGAAGGGGGCUAGCGUUGCUCGGAAUCACUGGGCGUAAAGGGCGCGUAGGCGGCCAUUCAAGUCGGGGGUGAAAUCCUGGAGCUCAACUCCAGAACUGCCUUCGAUACUGGAAGACUCGAGUCCGGGAGAGGUGAGUGGAACUGCGAGUGUAGAGGUGAAAUUCGUAGAUAUUCGCAAGAACACCAGUGGCGAAGGCGGCUCACUGGCCCGGUACUGACGCUGAGGUGCGAAAGCGUGGGGAGCAAACAGG